rnacentral:rRNA from 1 species
UAAGAUUCGGGGAUACCCCGGGAACUGGGGAUAAUACCGGAUAGAUCAUCUGUGCUGGAAGGCUGGGUGGUUGAAACUUCCGGGGCUUUUGGAUGGGUCUGCGGCUGAUUAGGUUGUUGCCGGUGUAACGUACCGUCAAGCCUGUAAUCAGUACGGGUUGUGGGAGCAAGAGCCCGGAGAUGGAUUCUGAGACACGAAUCCAGGCCCUACGGGGCGCAGCAGGCGCGAAAACUCUACAAUGCAGGCAACUGCGAUAGGGGAACAUCGAGUGAUCCUCAUAUUGGGGGUCUGUCCACCCGUCUAAAAAACGGGUGUUAGCAAGGGCCGGGCAAGACCGGUGCCAGCCGCCGCGGUAAUACCGGCGGCUCGAGUGGUGGCCGAUAUUAUUGAGUCUAAAGGGUCCGUAGCCGGCUUUGCAAGUCUCUCGGGAAAUCCAGCGGCUUAACCGUUGGUCGUCCGGGGGGUACUACAUUGCUUGGGACUGGGAGAGGUAGGAGGUACUCAGGGGGUAGGAGUGAAAUCCUGUAAUCCUUUGGGGACCACCGGUGGCGAAGGCGUCCUACCAGAACAGGUCCGACGGUGAGGGACGAAAGCUAGGGGCACGAACCGGAUUAGAUACCCGGGUAGUCCUAGCCGUAAACGAUGCUCGCUAGGUGUCACAACAGUCGUGAAUUGUUGUGGUGCCGUAGGGAAGCCGUGAAGCGAGCCACUUGGGAAGUACGACCGCAAGGUUGAAACUUAAAGGAAUUGGCGGGGGAGCAC